rnacentral:lncRNA from 1 species
GUCUCAAUCGUGUGGACAUCACUGGGAAUGGAGGGAAAUAACUGACUGUAUGAUCGUUGCUUUUUAAGUUUCAAACUGACAUUCCAGGCGGGCUGUUGCCUAAGUGAGCAUCUGUCUUCAGAAUUUCACAGUGGGUUCCUGGGAAGGUGGAAGCCUCUCCCUGAUGGGUGAAGUGAGGAGCAGGAGGGGACCGACACGACAGAGGUGUGCAGCCUCCAGCAUCUCCUCCUUUGUGAACUGGAUCCUCCCCAAGGAGACUACGAGAUGAAAACUUCGGAGCCCGGGAGUGAGUGGCCAGCAGGUUGCAGACGUCAGGUGAUGGCCACCAGCCAGCAUGGAACACGCCCCCACAAGACACACAGCAGAGGUGCCACCUGGACCUCCCACCCUGUCAUCUCAAUGCCUUGGACCCCUGGCCAGGAUAUGUGGGGAUGGCACCCACCUGGGCACCCAGCUACUCAUCUGCUGUCUCACCAAUGAGGAGAAUGAAGAACACAGCUCUAUAUGAUGGAUCUGUGAAGUGUUCCUUGAAUAUCUCUGCCCAGAGUGCAACAAUGAGGCCGCUAAUUGAACAAUUCCAACAACCCCGUGGCAUCGUGUAAGUAGGCUGUCCAUGUGUAGGGGUGGGUGCUCUGUGGAAAAGCUUCCUUUGUGAAGGAGGGUGGAUUGGGCUUAAGAUUCUACCAAUUCUAAGAGUCUGUGAUUUGCUUCUUUUUUUACAGCCUGGCUAUAUUUAGAUUAAUGAAUUAUAUUCAAGAUGGACUCACCAAUUAUUUCUUAAAUGAGUUAUUUCAUUCAAAAGUUAUUGAGAGAGGAGUUCCCAUUGUGGCUCAGUGAAUUAAGGACCCAACAUUGUCUCUGUGAGGGAUUGAUCCAUGGCCUUGCUCAGUGGGUUAAGGAUCUGGUGUUGCUGCAAGCUGUGGUGCAGGCAUAUAGCUGCAGCUGUAUUUCAACCCCUAGCCCAGGAACUUCCAUAUGAGGCAGGUACAGGCAUAAAAAGAAAAAAAAAAAAUUCAAAUAAGACCCAGAGUCUUCCAACCUAAAAGGAAAGACACCUAUAUACAAUUAAAAAAUACUACACAUCAUACUAAGAAUCAAGAAAAUAACAUAAAUGAGAAGACAAUUAGCUGACACCAACAUCUGUCAACGCAUCUGUCAAAGACUGUAAAGCAACCACUGUAAAAAUGCUUCAGAAAACAAUCACAAAUUCUCUUGAAAUGAAAUGGAAAAACAGAAAAAUGUCAGCAAAGAAAAGUUAUUUAAAAAUGGAAAGUAUUGAACUGAUGAAUACAAUAAAAGAAAUUAAAGCUCAUCCAUGGAUGAGCUAAAUUGUAGAAUGGUUAUGACCAAAGAUAGAAUCAGUGAAACUGAGAAAUAAACAAAAAAUAUCACAUGGUCUGAAGAACAGAGAAAAUAGACUGAAAAUACUCUCUACUGCGAAUGAUGACUUUAAUGCACAAAUUGGUAGCAUCAACCACAAUGCAGAGGGGUUGUUAAAUCAACUUAAGAGAACUCAUUGUUUUAAAUAAUGACAAAUGAAAAAUAAAAAAUUUAAGUGCUACAAUUUACAAUAGCACCAAAAAUACAGAGAAUAGAGAGUUCUCUUGUGGGGUUGCAGGUUAGAGGAGCCAGUGUUGUCACUGUGGCAGCCCACUGCUGCAGUGAAGGGGUGAAUCCCUGGCCCAAAACUUCCACAUGUUGUGGGUGCAGCCAAAAAAAAAAUUUUUUUUUUUUUAUUUUCCCACUGUACAGCAAGGGGGUCAGGUUAUCCUUACAUGUAUACAUUACAAUUACAUUUUUCCCCCAGCCUUUCUUCUGUUGCAACAUGAAGACUAGAUGGGGCCCAGAGGAUUUUUAGGGCAGUGAAAAUAUUCUACAAGCUACUAUUAAUGGCAGAUACAUGUCCUUAUACAUUUGUCCAAAUCCAUAGAAUGUACAACACCCAUGAAUGAUGUACCGUGAACCAUGAAUGUAACCAUGUUGGUAGAAUGAACCAUGAUGUAAACCAUGAGCGUUGGGUGAUAAUGACUUGCCAAUCUAGGCUCAGGAAUUGUGACAUCUCUGUCACUCUGGCAGGGUGGUGGUUGAUCAUGGUGAGGCUGAGCCUGUGUGGGGACAGAAGCUUGUAGGAAAUCUCUGUACCAUCUUCUCAAUUUUGCUGUGAACCUAAAACUGCUCCCCUAAAAAGUUUUCUAAAAAACACAGAGAAAUAAAUCUCAUGCAAUAUAACUGAAAACUUUAAAGUUGUUAUUGAGAAAAAUUAAAAGGGUCCUAAACAAAUGUUUUUGGAAUAAAGACAAUACUUUUAAAUUAAGUGUCAUUUCUCUCCAAAUUGAUCUAGAGAGCCAGUGCAACUUCAGCACAAAUUCCAGUAGAAUUUUGUUUAUUUUAUUUUCAGAAUGAAUGUUAUUCUCUAAUUUAUUUGGAAAAUUAAAGGACCAAAACAAUCUUGAAUAAGAACAUUUGUCAAGACUUUUUCUGAAGGUUUAGUAAACAAGACACUGUAAGAUUUAUAUAAGCGUAAACAAACAGACCAAUGGGACAGAAAAGGGAGCUUUAGAAAACAGACCACACAUAUGCAGUCACUUGAUUUGUGACAAAAAGGACACUACUGAGCAGUGAGGACAAGAUGGGUGGCCUUUUCAUAAACUCUGCUGGGUCAAUUAUAUGUUCAUAUUUUAAAAAAUGAAUUUUGACCCCCCCACACACACAUACCAGCCACAAAAAUUAAAUCAGGCUGAUUGUAGACCUAAAUGCAGAAAGUUAAAACAAGAAAACUUCUAAAGGUAGCAUAAAAGCAUACUUUCAUGAUCUUUCACGUGAACAAAUUUUCUCAAAUACAGUACAAAAAGCACUAAAGACCAAGGUUAAGAUUGGUCUUAACCAAGCAACUUAAAAGAGAUACCAUUAAGAAAGUGGAAAAGCAAGCUAAAAGAGUGGGAGAAGGUAUUUACAAAUCAUAAACCUGAUAAGAGACUUGUAUCCAGAAUACAUGAAAAAAUAUUCCAUAAAACAUUAAUGACCCAAUAGAAGAAAUAAGCCAAAGAUUUGGACAGGCACUUCACAAAAGGGAUUAUACGAGUGGCCAGUGAAUAUGAGCUGCACAGUAUAAACUGAAACCCCCAGGAGACACCACUACACACCCACCAGAGUGGCUGAAAUGAACAGGCUAACAGUACUGAGUGCAGGAGAGCACGUAGAUCACCUGCAACUGCCAUCCACAGGCUAGUAGGGGUGCGAAUUGUACUGUCACUUUGGAAGGCUGUUUGGCAGGGUUAAGCGCUGAGCAUUGUGUAUCCUAUGGCCCAGCAUUUCUGGACCCCUCUGCACACACUCAACUGAAACACAUACUCUCUUUUUUUUCCAGCCACACCUGCAGCAUGUGGAAGUUCCCGGGCCAGGGAUUGAACCCCCUCAACAGCACCAACCCAAUCCACAGCAGUGAAACACUAGAUCCUGCUAAGCCACCAGGGCACUCCAGAAACACAUACUCAUGUGCACUGAGGUCAUGGACAAAACUGCUCAGACCUAUCCAGUGAUAGCAGCCAAAGGCUGGAAACAACCCACAUUUCCACUAGCGGUGGAAUGGAUGAAUAUAUUGUGGUGUACUUAGCAAUGAAAUCAAACAAUCACUUGCAACAUGGAGUUCCUGUUGUGGCUCAGCAGGUUAAGAACCUGACUAGUAUCCAUGAGGAUUCAGGCUUGAUCCCUAGCCUCACUCAGUGGGUUAAGGAUCUCCAGUUGCUGUGGCUGUGGCAUAGACCUGCACCUGUAGCUCCAAUUCGACCCCUAGCUUGGGAACUUCCAUACGCCUGCUGCAAGUGCAGCCUUAAAAAGACCAAAAAAAAAAAAAAAAAGAAAAAAAAA